UCAAAUAAUCUACAAUAAAGAAUUUUUUUCUACCUCACUCUAUUGCCUCAUUUAAACUAUGGAUUCUAUCUUAUUUGUUCUCCUCAGUCAGCAUUAUUGUCAUUUACAUAAUGGACUUUACAUCAACUUGCAAUUGCAUUGUGUGUAAUGUGUACUGCACUUUCUGCAACCCUUUCCUCAAUUUCAUCUAUCCAACUUGGAGCCAUCUGAAACUUGUAUUAUAUUUUCAAUGUAUUAAUGAAUUCUUUUUAUUUUAC